rnacentral:rRNA from 1 species
AUGGCGUUAAUUCUCCCCAUCAUCAACACUGUACUGAAGGGUAUCGUGCUAGUGAGUAAGCUAGGAAAUGCAACUACCAGGCUUGACGCCAAGAUCCAGAGUGGCCUCGGAUCGAUCAGCAGGGAGCUCGUGAUGAUCCGGAGUGCCAUUUUAGAAGACAAGUGCCAAGAGAUGCAAAAUUUGGAGUUGGUUUAUGAUAUCGAAGACUUCAUAGAUCAUCUCCGGGUUCCCGGAAAAAUUGCGGGCGGCGUGCUCUCAGCUGCGGGGGCGGACCCCCGCCAUGGACUAAUCGAGAAAAUCAACAUUUUCAGGGAAGACCUCAAGAGUGUAAUCAAGAGAGAAAGCGAGCAGCCAAAGAAGAUAUCUGAAUCGACUCAAGAGAGUCAGAGUGGAGCCUCCCCGUCUUCUUGUUAUACUCCAGAGAAGGAUCUGGUGGGCUUCCCGGAGACCAAGGACGACUUCCUGAAGCGGCUCUGUUCCCCAUCCGAUGAGGAACUGAGGGUGAUCUCCAUCGUGGGCUGUAGUGGCUUAGGGAAAACGGCCCUUGCAAGGGCAGUUUACGAGGACCAUACCAGUAGUUCAUUCCAAUGCAAAGCUUGGGUGGUGAUGCCGGAGUACAAAUACGGUAAAGACCUUUCAAUCACGAUUGUGCAGAAUCUGCGCAAAACCGUGGAGGAUAUUCUACAGAGGAUUCUGCAACAAGUUCGUUCAUCUUUAGAUGUGAGAGAAGAUCGUUCCGUGCCAUCAGCAAGCAACGGUACCGACCCGGCAAGUGGCGCGAGCACCGCAGAAGCUUUGCGGAGUCUACUGAUGAAAAAAAGGUAUCUGGUCUGUAUUGAUGAUGUACAACAGAAAGAAGUAUGGGACGAGAUAGAAGCUGUGCUCCCUGAAAAUUACAUGGGUAGCAGAAUACUUGUGACAACAAAUGUUCAUUCUAUCGCCAAAGCUUGCAGUUCUGGCAGUUAUGUGUACAGAAUGCAAUAUCUUGACCGACCUAAUUCAGAAAAGCUACUAUGGUCAAAAGCUCUUCGGCCUUCACAGGAACCUUCAAAUGCCGUGGCCCAUUCCUCAGAAAGCAUCUUGGUUAAAUGUGAUGGCUUACCACUGGCGCUGGCUAGCGUAGGUAAAUAUUUGAAGGGGGCAGAACAAUUGGAGUCCAAAUGUGAACAUGUGGGCAGAACACUUGGUGAUUUCCUGGCAGGUGAUGGAACCUACUUUUACUUCGCAGAGAUUAGAAGAGCACUUUUCCGGUGUUAUGACAACCUGCAAGACUACAGUCACAAGAACUGCCUGCUUUAUGCAAGCAUGUUCCCCAGGGGUCACCCGAUAAACAUCGAAAGUCUAGCCAGAAGAUUGGUAGCUGAAGAGUUAGUUGACAAAGAUGUCGACAGAGGAAUAGCUGAAGCAUUGGGUUUCACCAGUAGGUGCUUGGAGGAGUUGAUCAACCAGAGUAUGAUUGAGAGAGAGAGAGUACUUGUUGACAAGGAUGUUCAGAGGUAUAAACUCCAGAGUAUAAUUCUGGAGUUUAGCAUGGAGAUGUCCUUGUCUAAGAAUUUUUUCAGUCUGAUUGACGAGCACUGGACCAUACGGAACAAAGGUGGUCGUGUCCGCCGACUGGUCACCGUCCAGUCCAGGUCCAGCACCGAAGAUGGAAGCAGUGGAGUUCCAAGUGAUAUUGAUCUGUCAACCGUCAGGUCGUUAACGAUCUUGAAACGUAACCUUGUUAAACGGGCACCAGGGUAUUUCAAGGAUUGCAAUGUUCUGCGGAUGGUGGAUCUGGAAGGUUGCACUGGGCUUGACAAUGGCGUUGUUGAUGAUAUAUGUGGACUGGUGCUUCUCAACUAUCUCGGCCUCAGGAGAACUGACGUCGACAAGCUUCCCAAGGAUGUAGGCAACCUGAAGCAUUUACAGACACUUGACAUUCGAGAGACCAGGGUGCAAAGUUUGGCCAUGGAAGUCAUCAUGUUGCCAGGUUUAGCCUACCUGUUUGGCAAGUUCGAGCUGCAAAAGUUAACUGACGGUGGGGUAAAGUUUCGCCUUGUGAAGUUCUUGUCGAGGGAAAGUAAACUGCACACUCUCUCAGGAGCUCUUAUGAAUGGGGCAAGGAGUCAUGAUGUGUUGCUCGUUAUAGAACAUGCAAGAAUGCUGAAGAAUGUCAAACUAUGGUGCAAGAACACUCAAGAUGGCCAAGCUCCCAACCAACUCGGAAAGAGAAAGAAGUUCCCUUGUGGUGCCGGACAGUCGUCGUCUGUCGGUGCGCCAGAUUCAGCAGAUCCGGAUUCUGUGGGCCGGAUACUCCGGCUCCUUCAGAAGCGCUCCAUCGGUCUCGAGUCUCUGUCCAUUGACUCGAAUGGUGUCUCCAAUGGCUUUCUGAGUUUUCUACAGCCUGCCAGCACUAUCACAUCCCUAAAACUACGGCGAGGAUCGGGUACUCUGCCGGACAAUGCCGUGUUAGAUCAGGUACGUAAUCUCAACAAAUUGCACCUCUUCUCAGCUGGACGCAGCAUCCAAGAACUGGCAGAAGCACUGCAAAGAUUGCCUUGCUUGGUGCAUCUCAAGCUCGCCGAGAAGGAAUCUCAACUGUGGGACGGCAACUUCCACGUCGAGGCUAGCGGAUUCAACAGCCUUAUUUGGCUGUGCUUCCAAGCCAAGAAACAUCCGCGUAUCAGCACCGAAAAUGGGGGCAUGAAACAUCUUGCCUCUCUUCUGCUGCUCUGUCCAGAAUCUCCUCCUCCUGAGACGGAUGGGGCUAACUACCAAAAGAAACAGAAAAGGUUCCAACUGUUUCCCAGAAUAGAAGAAGAAGAAGAAGAAGAUGGAAUAAUGGAGGAUCUUGACCCUCAUGCGCUGCUUUGUCCACACUGUCCUCAUGUUCAGAUGAAAGAGCCCCGGGUGGGAAUAGAAGAAAAGGUUGGAGUCAAGGGUAUAUCAUUUCUUAAAAAUCUCAACGAGGUGAUACUCCACCAUUCUGCUCCUACUACAAUAUUGGAAGCAUGGAAAAGAGCUGCAAAUCUACACACCAAUAAGCCCUACGUGAAGAAGCAACCUAUUGGAGAUGCUCUAAUACUGAAGCUAUAG